GAUGAACGCUGACAGAAUGCUUAACACAUGCAAGUCGAAGGGGAAGUGGUGCUUGCACUAUGGCAACCAUGGCGGACGGGUGAGUAACGCGUAAGGGACUUACCUGCAGGACUGGGAUAACAGGGGGAAACUCCUGACAAGACCGGAUAAUGUCAUGGAGCUGCAUGGCUUUAUGAUGAAAGGAGACGCCUGCGGAGAGCCUUGCGUCCUAUUAGCUAGUUGGUGAGGUAAUGGCUCACCAAGGCGAAGAUAGGUAGCCGGCCUGAGAGGGUGGACGGCCACAAGGGGACUGAGAUACGGCGGUUACUCCUACGGGAGGCAGCAGUGGGGAAUAUUGGACAAGGGGGGCAGCCCUGAUCCAGCAAUUCUGUGUGCACGAAGAAGGUUUUCGGAUUGUAGAGUGCUUUCAGCAGGGAAGAAGUAAGUGACGGUACCUGCAGAAGAAGCGACGGCUAAAUACGUG
rnacentral:rRNA from 1 species